UACAAUAGUUGGGUAGCCUAAAGUCAUAUUUUAAAAUAUUCAUGACCAAGUGUCAUGUGAUAAUUGGACUUAAAAAAAAAAAUCAGACUCCCUUGUAAAAGAAGUUAGCAACUCACAGCAACUGUCAGUAACGCUUCAGAGAGUAUGUAAUGAGUCAACUCACAAGAGGAGAGAGAGAGUUAUGAGGAGGGUUGCUCCUCACCGAUGUGCAUGCUCUGAAAAAACCACCUUGUUCUAUAUAAUGCACUCUGCUUUUAUUCUUUUCUAUCUAUCAAACCUCCCUAUUUCUCCUGGUUAAGAAACUUUCAUUUUCUCAAUAUUUAUUUAAAACAAAAAAAACACUCAGUUUUCAUUUUAAUGGGAAAUUUGAUUAAUAACCGCAUUUGCAAUUACAACCCCGAAUCACUGCCUCCAGCAGAUUUAGAUGACAACCUCAAAGCACCAGCACCGGCACCGGAACCAGCACCUUCUUAUGCCAAUUAUAACUCAAAUAUCGAGUUAUCAUUUUCACUCAAAAUACAGUCGGGUGAGCUCAAUGAAAAUCCCAGGAGCAAUCUGCUGCUAGCAAUAUUCAAGGGGGAAAAGGACGAGGAGAUUAUUAAAGAAAUUGGUCGUACAGAGGUCUUUGAGGGCAGUUCAGAGUUAGAUCUUUUCCGGUCUAAUAAACUGCCAGUCAAAUAUUGUUUUGGGGACAAUCAGCCAUUAAUCUUACGUCUCUAUCACGUCUAUCCAGAAAAUCACAGCACACUUGUAGCGGAUCUCAUGUUGCAUGAGGAAGAACUUCUUGCAGAAAGCAGCGUUCUUCUGUCUCAGAUUGUUGUAGGUAUGGAGAGUACUUGUUCUCUACGUCUAGAAAACAAACAAAUGGGACAACAUAUAGGAACGCUGACUGUUCAAGCAGAGGAGACUGUGGCAUCAAGAGGUCUAUUGAUCAAAAUUUGUACCCAUAAUGGAAUUUCUAAAAAGGGUCAAUUCCUGAAAGUAUUAAAAAAAAUGCAAACGGGACAGCCAAUGAAAUCUGCACCACGGAACUGGUGAAGAACAAUCCGAAACCUGAGUGGAGUGUCUAUCUUAAUAUGCAGCAAAUUGGUGGCAAGGGUGACGAGUUAAUCAUUGAAGGCUAUAACUUCAGCAGCAAUCGCAAUCAUACUUUAUUUGG